UACGGAGGGGGCUAGCGUUAUUCGGAAUUAUUGGGCGUAAAGGGCGUGUAGGCGGCUUCGUAAGUCUCAUUGUGAAAGCCCUCGGCUCAACCAAGGAACUGCAUGGGAAACUGCGGAGCUUGAGUCCGGGAGAGGAGAGCGGAAUUCCCAGUGUAGCGGUGAAAUGCGUAGAUAUUGGGAGGAACACCGGUGGCGAAGGCGGCUCUCUGGACCGGUACUGACGCUGAGACGCGAAAGCUAGGGGAGCAAACGGG
rnacentral:rRNA from 1 species